rnacentral:lncRNA from 1 species
UAUACUAUAGGACUGUCUCUUUAAAUAUUAUCCACAGAGGUACAAAGUCAUGCUAUUCAAAAGCAUUUACCAGAAAAGCAAUGAUAUAAGCAAAUAUAAAUGCUCAAUGCGUAAUAAAUGAAUGAAAGAAAUAUCAUGUAAACAGUCCACUAUAAUACUAGUAUAAUGAAAACCCAGACAUAUAAAAAAAUGCAGCAAACCAUACCAAAUUCAGUGAGAAGUAGGGACAGAGUCAAUCAAAAAAAAACCAACAUUUCAGCUAAAAAGCCU